CGCACAUUGCACCCCUUGGUAUUCCGGGGGGUAUGCCUGUUCGAGCGUCAUUAUGACCUCUCCAGCUCAGCUGGGUGUUGGGCUCCGCCGUCGGGCGGGCCUUAAAAGCAGUGGCGGUGCUCUGAAGCUCUACGCGUAGUAAUCAUUUCUCGCGCCAGGGUCGGAGGAGAGGCUGGCCAUCAACCUCAACUUUCUCAGGUUGACCUCGGAUCAGGUAGGGAUACCCGCUGAACUUAA
rnacentral:misc_RNA from 1 species